rnacentral:misc_RNA from 1 species
UAAUAAGUGUUUUAUGGCACUUUUUAAAUCCCAUAUCCACCUUGUGUGCAAUGUCAGUCGGUUUUCUUUUUCGUCAAGAAAAAAAGGAUCGACCAAACAUCAACUUAUUCUAAUUGAACUUUUGUCUGAAAACUAUUAUGAAUAAACUAAUUCAAAAUA